AGGAUGAACGCUGGCGGCGUGCUUAACACAUGCAAGUCGAACGAUGAACCUCGCUUGCGGGGGGAUUAGUGGCGAACGGGUGAGUAACACGUGAGUAACCUGCCCUUAACUCUGGGAUAAGCCUUGGAAACGGGGUCUAAUACUGGAUAUUGACUUUACCUCGCAUGGGGUUUGGUUGAAAGAUUUAUUGGUUUUGGAUGGACUCGCGGCCUAUCAGCUUGUUGGUGAGGUAAUGGCUCACCAAGGCGACGACGGGUAGCCGGCCUGAGAGGGUGACCGGCCACACUGGGACUGAGACACGGCCCAGACUCCUACGGGAGGCAGCAGUGGGGAAUAUUGCACAAUGGGCGAAAGCCUGAUGCAGCGACGCCGCGUGAGGGAUGACGGCCUUCGGUUGUAAACCGUCUUUCAGUACGACGAAGCGAGAGUGACGGUAGGUACAGAAGAAGCACCGGCCAACUACGUGCCAGCAGCCGC
rnacentral:rRNA from 1 species